AACGUCCAUACCACGCUGAAUGCACCGGGUUUUCGUGCGAUCACCGAGGUUAAGCAGCGUCGGACGCGGUCAGUACACUUGGAUGGGUGGUCGCCUGAGAACAGCGCCUGAUG